rnacentral:rRNA from 1 species
UACGAAGGGGGCUAGCGUUGCUCGGAAUCACUGGGCGUAAAGCGCGUGUAGGCGGCUCUUCAAGUCAGGCGUGAAAGCCCCGGGCUCAACUCGGGAACUGCGCUUGAUACUGUCGAGCUAGAGUGUGGAAGGGGCGAUUGGAAUUCCGUGUGUAGCGGUGAAAUGCGUAGAUAUACGGAGGAACACCAGAGGCGAAGGCGGAUCGCUGGGCCAACACUGACGCUGAGACGCGAAAGCGUGGGGAGCGAACAGG